rnacentral:rRNA from 1 species
GUAGGUGGCAAGCGUUGUCCGGAAUUAUUGGGCGUAAAGCGCGCGCAGGCGGUUCUUUAAGUCUGAUGUGAAAGCCCACGGCUCAACCGUGGAGGGUCAUUGGAAACUGGAGAACUUGAGUACAGAAGAGGAAAGCGGAAUUCCACGUGUAGCGGUGAAAUGCGUAGAGAUGUGGAGGAACACCAGUGGCGAAGGCGGCUUUCUGGUCUGUAACUGACGCUGAGGCGCGAAAGCGUGGGGAGCAAACAGGAUUAGAUACCCUGGUAGUCCACGCCGUAAACGAUGAGUGCUAAGUGUUAGGGGGGUUUCCGCCCCCCUUAGUGCUGCAGCUAACGCAUUAAGCACUCCGCCUGGGGUACGGCCGCAAGGCUG